AUUGAACGCUGGCGGCAGGCCUAACACAUGCAAGUCGAGCGGUAGCACAGAGAGCUUGCUCUCGGGUGACGAGCGGCGGACGGGUGAGUAAUGUCUGGGAAACUGCCUGAUGGAGGGGGAUAACUACUGGAAACGGUAGCUAAUACCGCAUAAUGUCGCAAGACCAAAGUGGGGGACCUUCGGGCCUCAUGCCAUCAGAUGUGCCCAGAUGGGAUUAGCUAGUAGGUGGGGUAACGGCUCACCUAGGCGACGAUCCCUAGCUGGUCUGAGAGGAUGACCAGCCACACUGGAACUGAGACACGGUCCAGACUCCUACGGGAGGCAGCAGUGGGGAAUAUUGCACAAUGGGCGCAAGCCUGAUGCAGCCAUGCCGCGUGUGUGAAGAAGGCCUUCGGGUUGUAAAGCACUUUCAGCGGGGAGGAAGGCGGUGAGGUUAAUAACCUCAUCGAUUGACGUUACCCGCAGAAGAAGCACCGGCUAACUCCGUGCCAGCAGCCGCGGUAAUACGGAGGGUGCAAGCGUUAAUCGGAAUUACUGGGCGUAAAGCGCACGCAGGCGGUCUGUCAAGUCGGAUGUGAAAUCCCCGGGCUCAACCUGGGAACUGCAUUCGAAACUGGCAGGCUAGAGUCUUGUAGAGGGGGGUAGAAUUCCAGGUGUAGCGGUGAAAUGCGUAGAGAUCUGGAGGAAUACCGGUGGCGAAGGCGGCCCCCUGGACAAAGACUGACGCUCAGGUGCGAAAGCGUGGGGAGCAAACAGGAUUAGAUACCCUGGUAGUCCACGCCGUAAACGAUGUCGAUUUGGAGGUUGUGCCCUUGAGGCGUGGCUUCCGGAGCUAACGCGUUAAAUCGACCGCCUGGGGAGUACGGCCGCAAGGUUAAAACUCAAAUGAAUUGACGGGGGCCCGCACAAGCGGUGGAGCAUGUGGUUUAAUUCGAUGCAACGCGAAGAACCUUACCUGGUCUUGACAUCCACAGAACUUAGCAGAGAUGCUUUGGUGCCUUCGGGAACUGUGAGACAGGUGCUGCAUGGCUGUCGUCAGCUCGUGUUGUGAAAUGUUGGGUUAAGUCCCGCAACGAGCGCAACCCUUAUCCUUUGUUGCCAGCGGUCCGGCCGGGAACUCAAAGGAGACUGCCAGUGAUAAACUGGAGGAAGGUGGGGAUGACGUCAAGUCAUCAUGGCCCUUACGACCAGGGCUACACACGUGCUACAAUGGCAUAUACAAAGAGAAGCGACCUCGCGAGAGCAAGCGGACCUCAUAAAGUAUGUCGUAGUCCGGAUUGGAGUCUGCAACUCGACUCCAUGAAGUCGGAAUCGCUAGUAAUCGUAGAUCAGAAUGUCACGGUGAAUACGUUCCCGGGCCUUGUACACACCGCCCGUCACACCAUGGGAGUGGGUUGCAAAAGAAGUAGGUAGCUUAACCUUCGGGAGGGCGCUUACCACUUUGUGAUUCAUGACUGGGGUGA
rnacentral:rRNA from 1 species